AUUGAACGCUGGCGGCAGGCCUAACACAUGCAAGUCGAACGAGUGGCGGACGGGUGAGUAAUGUCUGGGAAACUGCCCGAUGGAGGGGGAUAACUACUGGAAACGGUAGCUAAUACCGCAUACCAUCGGAUUUGCCCAGAUGGGAUUAGCUUGUAGGUGAGGUAACGGCUCACCUAGGCGAAGAUCCCUAUCUGGUCGGAGAGGAUGACCAGCCACACUGGAACUGAGACACGGUCCAGACUCCUACGGGAGGCAGCAGUGGGGAAUAUUGCACAAUGGUCGCAAGCCUGAUGCAGACAUGCCGCGUGUAUGAAGAAGGCCUUCGGGUUGUAAAGUACUUUCAGCGGGGAGGCGGAACAAGAAGAAGAAGCACCGGCUAACUCCGUGCCAGCAGCCGCGGUAAUAG
rnacentral:rRNA from 1 species